ensembl:misc_RNA Y_RNA Y RNA
GGCUGGUCUGAACAUAGUGAGUUAUCUCAGUUGAUUGUUCAGUCAGUUAUAGAUCUAACUCCUUGUUCUACUCUUUCCCCCUUCUCACUACUGCACUUGACUACUCAAAA